UCUAAAGGGAUUGUUACUAAUAGGGUUAAUAUAUAAAUCCAAAAGGUAUCAGCCAAAGGUUGUAAUUUGAGUGGAAAAGGGCAAAAGAGUGAGAUCAAUAGAACGAAAAAAAAGCCAAAAUUGAGGGAUCUUUGUUUUCUUUGAUAUUAUUUUUGAGAUGUCUAAAACCAGAAAAUAUGUUGAUGCUGGGACUCAAAUCAAUGACAUAGCCAAGGCACUUAUAAAGAUUUUUGAUCAACUCGAUGCAUUAGAGGUCACCCAAAAUCUAUCUUUGAACAUAGCUGAUCUGAGGAGGGGAAAUAUUUUUCAUACAAGUUGUGGGAUAAAGGAUAAUAUUUGCUCUAUGAUUAUUGAUUUUGAAAGUUUUAUAAGUUUAUACAUGGUGGAGAAGUUGUAACUUACAUGCAUCAAACACAAUGAUUUUGGUAAACUUAAGGCGAC
rnacentral:lncRNA from 1 species